CAAAGAUUUCUAGGAUUCUUAUCCAAUUAUGCUAAGAGCUCAUAUUUCUACAGUACUUACAAGGUGCAAGGCACAAUGCUAAGUGAUCUACCUUUGAGUUAGCUCAUAGUGAGUGUAGAAUUUCCUGACAUAAUAAUGGAAGAACAGUGAGCCACAGCUAACAGAUGUCACUGACCCUUUAUGACAACAUACCCUAGAAGAAAAGGGAACUCAAGCCCCUCCCACAGGGCAACUGCCAGAAGCAAAAUGAAAGCAUCCCCAUUGGGUCAUGUAAAUCUAGCUAUAAGUCAAAGGCAAAUCUACUCUGUCUCUCCCAAAACAUUCGAUGUGCACUUAGACUAACCAAGUCUGAGUCUAAGUGGAACGCAGUUGACAAAUGACCAGCAUUGUACUGCUCUGCAGGACGGCAGUCCACCACGAAGAACCGGACUCCUUCCUGAAAAGAAAACAACAUGUGACAUUGUGGAACUAGACUGUAUGGAACCCCAGGCCUCAAGCACUUGAAGCACACACUCUAACCUUGAGCUCCAGCUGCUCCAGCUCCUUACGUUCAGAGGACACAGGUCCCAGUGGGAUGCUCUGCUUACCCUUGCACACGUCCCGACAGGUGGGAUGCUCUGCUUACCCCUUGCAACUGACUUGCUUGAAGAAUCUCUGAUACGGAAACAGCCAGACACAGAGCCUGGCUCAGAUCUGCUUCGUCAUCCUUGAUUCCCAACAGAGUACUACCAAAGAGAUGAUGAUUAUCCUACACAAAGAGAAAACUGUAAACAUUACAAAGAAAAGUCAAAGUGUUCUUCCUGAAAAUAUUUUAUUAUGUAUAAUAAAAUGUGAAAUAAUUGUUACCA